UUUACAGCUGCUGACAUCAUCGGAGCCAGGCCGAAUAAAUUACUAAAACAACAAUCCAGUGAUAAUGAACCACAAUCCAGAACUGUAAACGGCCAAGCAGACAUAACAUACGACGAGUAUUCCCAAGAAACCGACAACGGUGGUGACAAGCAUGACAGCGG
rnacentral:lncRNA from 1 species